UACUACACACUUCCUACAUAAUGACACAGACCACUCCUAUAGUGUGAUGUGAAUACACUUUAUAUUUGUAACUAGGAGCAGGACGGUUAAACCAGUCUGAGUUUGAAAAGUCAUUGGUGUCGCGGAAUCCAAAGUCAACUCUGUCGAGGGGUCUCGUGGUCUUAACAAAAUGGUGUGACUGAUCGUUAACGCCUGCAGUUACGUGGUGAGGAGGAUCCGGGCUGCGGUGAGAGGAGGAGAGCAGCCGGUUAAACCCACCAAGGGAACAUGCAGUCAAAGUAAAGCCUGGAAGGAGACAGAGAUUCGGCCGGAGAAUGAACAGGCAGCUUUCCAUUCUCAGGCAGUAGAGGAGGGGACCAGACGCAGGCCUGAGCAGUGCAGGUCCUGACGCUAGAGAUGGAGAGCUGGCAAAGCCCAGGAGAGGAGAGGAGAAGAGAGGAGAGGAGAGGAGAGGAGGGGAGAGGGAGAAAGCUGGAGGGUAGAAGCUGACCCUUUGUUCUGGAGUCAUCAGGAGUUUGUGUUCAGAAUGUUCUGUUACUGAGUGUGUGGAAUAUAGCACUGCUCUCUGAGGGGGUGUGUGUGUGUGUGUGUGUAUUGUGAUGCCUUUGAUUAGCUCUGAGAAUCAGAGCAUCACACAUAACACACACACCUCGGCUGGAUUUCUGUUGUGACAACAACUGUGCAGAAAUACACUCACACACACUUUAUGCAAAAACUCUUUAACUCUCCUUUCCUGUUACCAGCUCUCACUGUACACACACACACACACAAAUACAUACACACAUACACAAACAUACAUACACACUGCACGCGCACACACACACACACACACACACACAGACACACACACACAUGCUGCUAGGCUCAGGGUUUGUAGAGUGACGUGUUUUUAAGCAGAGAGAAUGAAGUGUAGGAUGUAAAGCCUGAUGAGAAGGACUCAUCCACCACUGAUGACCAGUGACUCUGCUCUGAACCCUGUCACUGUCUUAACCAAUAAAACUGACAUGCCUUUAACUAUCA